rnacentral:rRNA from 1 species
UACGGGGGGGGUAAGCGUUGUUCGGAAUUACUGGGCGUAAAGGGUGCGUAGGCGGUCCCAUAAGUCAGUGGUGAAAUACUCUAGCUUAACUAGAGGGGUGCCAUUGAUACUGUGGGACUUGAGUAGAGUUGAAGUGGGCGGAAUUGACGGUGUAGCGGUGAAAUGCUUAGAUAUCGUCAAGAACACCGAUAGUGAAGACAGCUCACUAAGCUCAAACUGACGCUGAGGCACGAAAGUGUGGGGAUCAAACAGG